GACGAACGCUGGCGGCGUGCUUAACACAUGCAAGUCGAACGGAAAGGCCCUGCUUUUGUGGGGUGCUCGAGUGGCGAACGGGUGAGUAACACGUGAGUAACCUGCCCUUGACUUUGGGAUAACUUCAGGAAACUGGGGCUAAUACCGGAUAGGAGCUCCUGCUGCAUGGUGGGGGUUGGAAAGUUUCGGCGGUUGGGGAUGGACUCGCGGCUUAUCAGCUUGUUGGUGGGGUAGUGGCUUACCAAGGCUUUGACGGGUAGCCGGCCUGAGAGGGUGACCGGCCACAUUGGGACUGAGAUACGGCCCAGACUCCUACGGGAGGCAGCAGUGGGGAAUAUUGCACAAUGGGGGAAGCCUGAUGCAGCAACGCCGCGUGCGGGAUGACGGCCUUCGGGCUGUAAACCGCUUUCGCCUGUGACGAAGCGUGAGUGACGGUAAUGGGUAAAGAAGCACCGGCUAACUACGUG
rnacentral:rRNA from 1 species